GUGAGAAGCACCCCGAGAGGGGAAUAGCAAUCCCUGAAGCCGUGUGCCUACAAGCAGUUGGAGCACUACUGUGGCAACACAAGUGUGACAGCGUGCCUUUUGUAGAAUGAUCCUGGGAGUUGCCGUAUGCAGCAAGGUUAAGGCCGCAGGGCCGCAGCCGAAGCGAAAGCGAGUCUUAAUAGGGCGCUUAGUUGCAUGC
rnacentral:rRNA from 1 species